AUGCCUUUUCCUGUCUUAGCACAGAUAUUCAGAAUACACUUACCCUUAAUACAAUCAUGAUUUUUCUGGCUUUUUGCGGAUCUCCCUCCAUUUGUAGCUUGCUGCCUGCAUCUUGCCCUCAGCCAAGUGAGUGAAUCCAGUGAACCAAGGAAGCAAUGCUCUGACUUGAGCAAUGAAGCCAAAGCAGACACUUGAGCUGAGCGUGGAAGCCCUGGCAAACACAGGCUCUCCUCUCUGCUUGGGAACAGCUAGAUCUUCAACACUGGGGCAAAGACGUUGAGUCUGUGAACAAAGCCAGCCAGAGCCGGAUCUGCUCCCAGGCAGAAGCCUAAGUUGAUGGGCACAGCCCACCCUGGCCAUCCUUUUCCUCCCUUGUUUAUCAGAGAACCAAGAGAACAGAGUUUUACAGACUGAAAACGAGAAACAAACAGAACAGCGCCUCAUUCUUCAGAGUAAACAGAGCAAAGGCCAGCGGUGGCAGAUGCAGCCAAGAGCUGGCUCUGUGCAGACAAAGAGCAGAUUAUGAAAACAAAACUCUAUCCGCUGAAAUCAUUGCCUUUAAUUACCGACCCAGGAGCUUCGUUUAAUGCUUCCCUUUUACACAGACGUUUGGAGCAAAUGAUGCUCAGAAGCAGGAGUCAGAAAACAAGAUUGUUCCAUGGACUGAGUAGGGGGAAGCUGGAGGUGACACAGAUGUGUCCCCCCUUCUCUUGGUCUGCUUGGAUGACUCUUCCUUUAAAGUCCUGCAGAGACCCCUCCUCUACAUCAAUAUUUGCUCAUUUCUUCCGUAGAUUUAAAAAUCUACACGGUCAUCUUAUUGCCACCAAUGCACAGGACACCGACUUCAGCUCCUUCUCUUAUACUGAUACUGGGGACACGAAGUGGGUUCUGCCCAGGUCUCAAGUUUGGAAGAUCAAAUAGCAACAGUACACAUUGCCUCUGUGGCCGUUGUGGCCUCUGUUCUGCUUUUUAGCCACAGUUCCGGACACACCACAGCUCAGAAAACUCCCCUUGGGGUGGGGUGCUCCGUCUGUCUCCUCUCCUCCCACAGCCUGAGCGAGCAUACUGUGUGAAUGACUAAGUUGUGAAUGACUGAUGGACCGAUGUAGAAAUGGGCCCAAAUGGCUGCACUUGGGUUUUAAAAGAGAUAGCAAAAUUCUGUCCUCUAGCCGACCAGCAGAGAGAGAACAGGUCAUCUGUGAGAUGGUGCCAAAGAAACACUUGCAGCCCUGUGCCAGCACUAGCCUUCCCCUGGCUCACUGAUGCCUGAGAACUGAGAGAUCCUUCCUGGACUGUUGGACUAUGCGAGGCUAACUCUGAGGAGGGGACUUUGUGUCUAACAAGCUGUGAGGUACUAUUAAAGAUGGAGUAAGAUCCCCAGGGCCGCUGCUUGUCUUUUCCUGGGAUCACUGGCCCUUCGAAACCCUGGGACACGUCUCCUUUCAUGGGUUUGUAAACAGAAUCCAGCACAGAUUUCAGGUGUUGAGCUACCAUAGAUGGUACCAAAUUCCUUGAACUCUAAAGAUACAUUCUUGCUUUGGACUCCACCCCAAGUUUUUGUAAAUGUGAUACAACGCACUGGGUGGUUUCUAAGAAGAGGUAAUGUCCCUCUCUGUAGGUAAAAGUUAAUGGAGAGUUGCUAAGUUACAUUUGAUGCUGUGUUUGAAAUACUAGUUACCGUUUCUAAGAAUAAGACUAACCUUGGAUGCAGUCUUUGGCAGUGGCGGUUAACACUGUGAUUGGAUCUCCACCGCAGUGGUCAUGGUUCUCUGUCUCCCCUCCCCUCCCCUCCCC
rnacentral:lncRNA from 1 species